rnacentral:rRNA from 1 species
AGCUGGAGCUUGCUCCGGCCGAUUAGUGGCGAACGGGUGAGUAACACGUGAGCAAUCUGCCCUUGACUCUGGGAUAACUGCGGGAAACUGUAGCUAAUACCGGAUACUUUCCUCGCUGGGCAUCCAGCGGGGAAGAAAGAAUUUCGGUCAAGGAUGAGCUCGCGGCCUAUCAGCUAGUUGGUGAGGUAAAGGCUCACCAAGGCGACGACGGGUAGCCGGCCUGAGAGGGUGACCGGCCACACUGGAACUGAGACACGGUCCAGACUCCUACGGGAGGCAGCAGUGGGGAAUAUUGCACAAUGGGCGAAAGCCUGAUGCAGCAACGCCGCGUGAGGGAUGAAGGCCUUCGGGUUGUAAACCUCUUUUAGCAGGGAAGAAGCGAAAGUGACGGUACCUGCAGAAAAAGCACCGGCUAACUACGUGCCAGCAGCCGCGGUAAUACGUAGGGUGCAAGCGUUGUCCGGAAUUAUUGGGCGUAAAGAGCUCGUAGGCGGUUUGUCACGUCUGCUGUGAAAAUCCGAGGCUCAACCUCGGACUUGCAGUGGGUACGGGCAGGCUAGAGUGCGGUAGGGGAGAAGGGAAUUCCUGGUGUAGCGGUGGAAUGCGCAGAUAUCAGGAGGAACACCAAUGGCGAAGGCACUUCUCUGGGCCGUAACUGACGCUGAGGAGCGAAAGCGUGGGGAGCGAACAGGAUUAGAUACCCUGGUAGUCCACGCCGUAAACGGUGGGU